rnacentral:rRNA from 1 species
AUUGAACGCUGGCGGCAGGCUUAACACAUGCAAGUCGAGCGAGCGGCGGACGGGUGAGUAAUGUCUGGGAAACUGCCUGAUGGAGGGGGAUCACUACUGGAAACGGUAGCUAAUACCGCAUACCAUCAGAUGUGCCCAGAUGGGAUUAGCAAGUAGGUGGGGUAAUGGCUACCCUAGGCGACGAUCCCUAGCUGGUCUGAGAGGAUGACAAGCCAGACUGGAGCUGAGAAAGGGUGCAGACACCUACGGGAGGCAGCAGAGGGGAAGAUUGCACAAUGGGCGCAAGCCUGAUGCAUCCAUGCCGAGUGUGUGAAGAAGGCCUUCGGGUGGUAAAGCACUUUCAGCGAGGAGGCGUUACUCGCAGAAUAAGCACCGGCUAACUCCGUGCCAGCAGCCGCGGUAAUAC